GCAUUUUGGGAAACUGGAAUGCUAGUGGCAAACGGGUGCGUAACACGUGGGUAACCUACCUCAGAGUGGGGAACAACAGACCGAAAGGUUUGCUAAUACCGCAUAUGCUCAGCAAUGAGUAAAGCCGUAAGGCGCUUUGAGAGGGGCCCGCGUCCCAUCAGGUAGUUGGUGAGUUAAUGGCCCACCAAGGGAGAUGACGGGUAGCUGUUCUGAGAGGAAGAUCAGCCACACUUUCUUCUCAGAUACGGGGAAGACUCCUACGGAUGGUCGUAGGGG
rnacentral:misc_RNA from 1 species